rnacentral:rRNA from 1 species
UACGUAGGGUGCAAGCGUUGUCCGGAAUUAUUGGGCGUAAAGAGCUCGUAGGCGGUUUGUCGCGUCUGCUGUGAAAACGCGAGGCUCAACCUCGCGCCUGCAGUGGGUACGGGCAGACUAGAGUGCGGUAGGGGAGAUUGGAAUUCCUGGUGUAGCGGUGGAAUGCGCAGAUAUCAGGAAGAACACCGGUGGCGAAGGCGGUGGGCUGGGCCGGCACUGACGCUGAGGAGCGAAAGCGUGGGGAGCGAACAGG